rnacentral:lncRNA from 1 species
CCAUUGUGUCCCCACCUCGCUUCCUGGCAACCAGACUGCCUACCCCUCCGCCCCCAGCACCCCUGCUCCACCCGGCCCUGGCAGGACUCCUCAGGCCUCUGCUUGGGUCUGCGGCGCUGGCGGGUGGGGUGGGGGUCCUUGACUCAGCCCUGAAGCUGGCCUCACCCUUCUCCAAGUUUUAGCCAGCCCUUCCGGAAGGAGGCAAAUACGCAGACCAAAAGCAGGUGUGGGAGCGCUGGGGUUGUGGCUCAGUGGUACAGCGCUCGCCUCUCGCGGGUGCAGGCCCUGGGUUCCAUCCUCAGUUCCACAUAGAAAUAAGUAGAUAAAAUAAAGAUACCAACUACAACUAAAAGUAUACUAAGAAAAAAAGCAAGUGUGCGAAUAAAGAAAGAAUUCACAUAGGAAGCUCAGUUUAUGUGUAGAGAACUUUGCCCGUAUUUAAGUCUGUGGAAUAAUCAUGUAUUGGACCUGAAAAUAACCGUACAAGUUGAAUGAAAGUACAAUAGGACACAUGACUCGAUCACAAUCCGAUCCAAUUCUCUCUCAGCAAACAAUCAAAUGUAAAAAAAUAUAUAUAUAAAAAAGGUGGGGGGACACAAGUGUAAGCAAUUGGAAUUAAUAGGUCCCCAUUUUAAAACCUCUGGAUCAAAAAGAUACUAUGUCAGAAGUAACAAACUAUCUGCCUGUAAUCCCAGCGACUCAGGAGGCUGAGCCCGGGGCUGGCAAGUUCCAGGCCAGCCUCACCCAUCAGGUGAGACUCUAUUGUAAAAUUUUAAAGAAGGGCUGGGGAUGUAGCUCAGUGAUCCUUAUGGCUGAGGAUCAAACCCAGUGCCUCAUAUGUGCUAGGGAAGUGCUCUACCACUGAGCCACAACCCUAGCCCAUAGCUAAAGCUAUAUUCAGAGGGAAAAUCAUAGCUUUCAGAUAACCUCAUCAUUAAUGAAAAAUUUAAAGAAAUUUCCAACUUAUUUUACAAACAAAAAAGACCAGUUAACUAGAGGAGUGAAACAGGAAUGAACACAAUAUAGUAGAAAGGAUCAAUAAACAGAAUAGAUAUUUGUGAAAAGAAGACAGGUAAGUAGAUAGACACUAGGUGAGCCUGGGACUAGCUCUUGAUGGGGCCCACCCAGGUCAGGGUAAAGCCAUGGGUGCCUCCGUAUAUUUUGGAAGGAGGUUUCUUUAGUUGUGCGUCUGGAUCAAGGUAACUUCUGUCUGGCCACUGAUCCCAGUUAACAUAGGAUCGACUUGUAGAGGAAGCCUCCCUGAGUGGGAUGCUGUCAUGACAGCUUCAGAGAGGACCAAUUAGGGUCAAAAACUUCACUACUGGACAUGAAGGAGGGGUGAACCAUGUAGGAGAGAGCAUAAUGUGGUCCUUUGUUUUCAGGGCAAAUAUCAAACAGCAAUGAACUUGGAGAUGGCACUGUUGCCUUUGUGGUUUUCUGCUGAGAGACAUCUCUCUCUCUCUCUCUCUCUCUCUCUCUCUCUCUCUCUCUCUCUCUCUCUCUCUCUCUCUGCCUCUCUGUUUUCUGCUUGAGCUUCACUUUCCUUCCACUUACAAUAAAGUUUUCUUGCAUAACUUCUGGUGUCCGACUAAAGUUUUUCCAUCUGACGCAAGAGCUGAGGUUUGGAGCUUCAGCUGCUCACACUCCUGUGACAAAAGG